rnacentral:tRNA from 1 species
UCCCUGGUGGCUUAGUCAGUAAGGAGUCUGCCUGCAAUGCAGGAGACCCAGGUUAGAUCUUUGGUUUGGGAA